AUUAUACCGUGAAACUGCGAAUGGCUCAUUAAAUCAGUUAUCGUUUAUUUGAUAAUACCUUACUACUUGGAUAACCGUGGUAAUUCUAGAGCUAAUACAUGCUGAAAAUCCCGACUUCGGAAGGGAUGUGUUUAUUAGAUAAAAAACCAAUGCCCUUCGGGGCUCCUUGGUGAUUCAUAAUAACUUUACGGAUCGCAUAGCCUUGCGCUGGCGACGGUUCAUUCAAAUUUCUGCCCUAUCAACUUUCGAUGGUAAGGUAUUGGCUUACCAUGGUUUCAACGGGUAACGGGGAAUUAGGGUUCGAUUCCGGAGAGGGAGCCUGAGAAACGGCUACCACAUCCAAGGAAGGCAGCAGGCGCGCAAAUUACCCAAUCCCGAUUCGGGGAGGUAGUGACAAUAAAUACUGAUACAGGGCUCUUUUGGGUCUUGUAAUUGGAAUGAGUACAAUUUAAACCUCUUAACGAGGAACAAUUGGAGGGCAAGUCUGGUGCCAGCAGCCGCGGUAAUUCCAGCUCCAAUAGCGUAUAUUAAAGUUGUUGCAGUUAAAAAGCUCGUAGUUGAAACUUGGGUCUGGCUGGCGGGUCCGCCUCACCGCGUGCACUCGACUGGCUGGGCCUUCCUUCUGAAGAACCUCAUGCCCUUUACUGGGCGUGUUGGGGAAUCAGGACUUUUACUUUGAAAAAAUUAGAGUGUUCAAAGCAGGCCUUUGCUCGAAUACGUUAGCAUGGAAUAAUAAAAUAGGGCGUGCGUUUCUAUUUUGUUGGUUUCUAGAGACGCCGCAAUGAUUAACAGGAACAGUCGGGGGCAUCAGUAUUCAGUUGUCAGAGGUGAAAUUCUUGGAUUUACUGAAGACUAACUACUGCGAAAGCAUUUGCCAAGGAUGUUUUCAUUAAUCAGUGAACGAAAGUUAGGGGAUCGAAGACGAUCAGAUACCGUCGUAGUCUUAACCGUAAACUAUGCCGACUAGGGAUCGGGCGAUGUUCUUUUUCUGACUCGCUCGGCACCUUACGAGAAAUCAAAGUUUUUGGGUUCUGGGGGGAUUAUGGUCGCAAGGCUGAAACUUAAAGAAAUUGACGGAAGGUCACCACCAGGCGUGGAGCCUGCGGCUUAAUUUGACUCAACACGGGGAAACUCACCAGGUUCAGAUGAAAUAAGGAUUGACAGAUUGAGAGCUCUUUCUUGAUUUUUCAGGUGGUGGUGCAUGGCCGUUCUUAGUUCGUGGGGUGACUUGUCUGCUUAAUUGCGAUAACGAGCGAGACCUUACUCUGCUAAAUAGCCAGGCUAGCUUUGGCUGGUCGCCGGCUUCUUAGAGAGACUAUCAACUCAAGUUGAUGGAAGUUUGAGGCAAUAACAGGUUAACCUACACAGGCCUGUAACAGUGGGCCUCGUUAAAGAUAACUGCUAGUCUAGCGUCUUAACCUUCUUUGGGGAAGUCCCCUACUGUCGGGAGAAGGCAAGUUUUACUUGUGACGUAGGCAACACCACCUGGUACAGGGAACGCCGGAUCUGCUAUUGCGUGUGCAGAUUGGCCGAUCCUGUGGCGAGCCAAAGUAACGCUUGGCCGUCGCAACGCGCGGAAAGGGGUGGGCUGACUGGAAACAGUUGGCUUAAGGUACGUGCUAAUCCCUUGGGAAACCAAGCUCUGGUGAUGAGACCCGACAGGUCGAGGCACCAGAGGGCAGUUGGAGCAAUCGGACUGCUGGUAGGUUCACAUAAUACUAUGUGAAUUGUAAUAUGCUGUGAUGCCCUUAGAUAUUCUGGGCCGCACGCGCGCUACACUGACAGAGCCAACGAGUUCUUUCCCUUGGCCGAAAGGUCUGGGUAAUCUUGUUAAACUCUGUCGUGCUGGGGAUAAAGCAUUGCAAUUAUUGCUUUUCAACGAGGAAUGCCUAGUAAGCGCGUGUCAUCAGCAUGCGUUGAUUACGUCCCUGACCUUUGUACACACCGCCCGUCGCUACUACCGAUUGAAUGGCUCAGUGAGGCCUUCGGACUGGCUCGGGGAGGUUGGCAACGACCACCCCAAGCCGGAAAGUUGGUCAAACUCGGUCAUU
rnacentral:rRNA from 1 species